rnacentral:rRNA from 1 species
GACAGAGGGUGCAAACGUUGUUCGGAAUUACUGGGCGUAAAUCGCACGUAGGCGGAUUUGUAAGUCAGGGGUGAAAUCCCGGGGCUCAACCUCGGAACUGCCUUUGAUACUGCAAAUCUCGAGUCCGGAAGAGGUGAGUGGAAUUCCUAGUGUAGAGGUGAAAUUCGUAGAUAUUAGGAAGAACACCAGUGGCGAAGGCGGCUCACUGGUCCGGUACUGACGCUGAGGUGCGAAAGCGUGGGGAGCAAACAGG